rnacentral:rRNA from 1 species
CACGUAGGCACCAAGCGUUGUCCGGAUUUAUUGGGCGUAAAGAGCUCGUAGGCGGUUCGGUAAGUCGGGUGUGAAAACUCUGGGCUCAACCCAGAGCCGCCACCCGAUACUGCUGUGACUUGAGUUCGGUAGGGGAGCGGGGAAGUUCCUGGUGGUAGCGGUGAAAUGACGCAGAUAUCAGGAGGAACACCAGUGGCGAAGGCGCCGCUCUGGGCCGAGACUGACGCUGAGGAGCGAAAGCGUGGGUAGCAAACGGG